rnacentral:rRNA from 1 species
GGCUUAACACAUGCAAGUCGAGCGGGGGAAGGUAGCUUGCUACCGGACCUAGCGGCGGACGGGUGAGUAAUGCUUAGGAAUCUGCCUAUUAGUGGGGGACAACAUCUCGGAAGGGAUGCUAAUACCGCAUACGUCCUACGGGAGAAAGCAGGGGAUCUUCGGACCUUGCGCUAAUAGAUGAGCCUAAGUCGGAUUAGCUAGUUGGUGGGGUAAAGGCCUACCAAGGCGACGAUCUGUAGCGGGUCUGAGAGGAUGAUCCGCCACACUGGGACUGAGACACGGCCCAGACUCCUACGGGAGGCAGCAGUGGGGAAUAUUGGACAAUGGGGGGAACCCUGAUCCAGCCAUGCCGCGUGUGUGAAGAAGGCCUUAUGGUUGUAAAGCACUUUAAGCGAGGAGGAGGCUACUUUAGUUAAUACCUAGAGAUAGUGGACGUUACUCGCAGAAUAAGCACCGGCUAACUCUGUGCCAGCAGCCGCGGUAAUACAGAGGGUGCGAGCGUUAAUCGGAUUUACUGGGCGUAAAGCGUGCGUAGGCGGCUUAUUAAGUCGGAUGUGAAAUCCCCGAGCUUAACUUGGGAAUUGCAUUCGAUACUGGUGAGCUAGAGUAUGGGAGAGGAUGGUAGAAUUCCAGGUGUAGCGGUGAAAUGCGUAGAGAUCUGGAGGAAUACCGAUGGCGAAGGCAGCCAUCUGGCCUAAUACUGACGCUGAGGUACGAAAGCAUGGGGAGCAAACAGGAUUAGAUACCCUGGUAGUCCAUGCCGUAAACGAUGUCUACUAGCCGUUGGGGCCUUUGAGGCUUUAGUGGCGCAGCUAACGCGAUAAGUAGACCGCCUGGGGAGUACGGUCGCAAGACUAAAACUCAAAUGAAUUGACGG